AUUGAACGCUGGCGGCAGGCUUAACACAUGCAAGUCGAGCGGAGAUGAGGUGCUUGCACCUUAUCUUAGCGGCGGACGGGUGAGUAAUGCUUAGGAAUCUGCCUAUUAGUGGGGGACAACAUUCCGAAAGGAAUGCUAAUACCGCAUACGCCCUACGGGGGAAAGCAGGGGAUCUUCGGACCUUGCGCUAAUAGAUGAGCCUAAGUCGGAUGAGCGAGUUGGUGGGGUAAAGGCCUACCAAGGCGACGAUCUGUAGCGGGUCUGAGAGGAUGAUCCGCCACACUGGGACUGAGACACGGCCCAGACUCCUACGGGAGGCAGCAGUGGGGAAUAUUGGACAAUGGGCGGAAGCCUGAUCCAGCCAUGCCGCGUGUGUGAAGAAGGCCUUUUGGUUGUAAAGCACUUUAAGCGAGGAGGAGGCUACCUGGAUUAAUACUCUAGGAUAGUGGACGUUACUCGCAGAAUAAGCACCGGCUAACUCUGUGCCAGCCGCCGCAGUAAUAC
rnacentral:rRNA from 1 species